rnacentral:rRNA from 1 species
UACGUAGGGGGCAAGCGUUGUCCGGAUUUAUUGGGCGUAAAGAGCGUGUAGGCGGCCUGAAAGGUCAGCUGUGAAAACUCGAGGCUCAACCUCGAGACGUCGGUUGAAACCAUCUGGCUAGAGUCCGGAAGAGGAGUGUGGAAUUCCCGGUGUAGCGGUGAAAUGCGCAGAUAUCGGGAAGAACACCCGUGGCGAAGGCGGCACUCUGGGACGGUACUGACGCUGAGGCACGAAAGCCAGGGGAGCAAACGGG